AUUUAGUCAUGUGGUUGUCGUGAACUUGGCUGCUUGCAAAGCGCGCGCAGGCUACCUCUCAGCUCAGCUCAGCUCAGCCCAGGGAUGGACGAAGAGUGAAAAGAUGUCAGAGAAGAAAGACUCGAGUUCAAAGGAACCUCAGACCUGCAUUGCUUUUAGAAGUGAUUCCGUUUCCCACAGUUGUGGCAUUGUUGGCCAAAGGCUGGACAUUGUUCACGUUUCGCUGGAAAAACAAGAGCUGGUGUGAAGGGAGACAAAAGAUUUGCUUCCAAAAGUAACUGCUUAUUCACUGGAAAGGGAUUUUGGGCACAGUAUGUUUGCUGGACAGUGUGUGUGGCGUGUGUUUUAUUAAUGGAGCUUUGGCACAAUGUUUUGUUCCUCGUUGCUUCUCGUGUCUCACUUGGCUGUUGUGCUACAAAGGAAUUCAUGUAUGGGUAGACCUGCUCCAAGUCGAACUCUUUUGGUGGUGGAGAUGGUGGGUUUGAGUACACAUGGCUGCUGAAACGUGGGCAACCAUCAAUACACCAAAAUAAUACCUAAACACAGGCAGACAUUUAUGACCUCACUACAGUGCAAUGCUUUUCUCCGAAGCUAAAGUUUUAGAGCUUAUUCUGACAUCUUAAACAGGCCAACACAGAAUAUAUAGUUUAUAGGAUACUGUAAAGCAUGGUGAAUACUGAAAUGUUCACAAAGUAUGUGGGGGUUGCAUAAAUAAAUCUUAAGUGUCAGUCAUUUUCAUUAACUGCCCUUCUGAGCUCAUGUCUGAUUUACAGUCAUUAAAAUUCACCUGCCUCCCACUCGCCUGUCAACAGUUUAUUAAUUAAUCAUAGAUGGGAUUAAAAUGUAUGGGUUUUCACACACUUAAAUGUGGAGCUCCUCAUUAAGACUGGUGGAGAUCAGGGUCAUGGUUUAAUUUAUGUAGCGUAUGUAAGCUUGUUUUCUUUGACUUAAAAACGUCCCUUCUCACGUGUUGUGGUUACGGAGGAUGAGUGCUAAGGCCCUGAUCAUGAGUGCUAUUGUACUUGUCAGCUCAGAUAAUAUGAUCAUCCAUUAUUUUGAAUAUUUUCAGAAAGAUGUCAUGGUUUUAAAAGAUCAGAUGUGUGUUUUAGGUAUUACCGAAAUAAAUUCACAUUCUCUUGUACAAAAAGUUAAUUUAGGAAUUUCAGGAGCAUGACAUUGUUGACAAUUAUGUAAAUACUUCUAAUUAUAAUAAUUUGCAUUUAAUUUGAACUGAAACAGAUGGACAAAAACAGUUUUGUGUUAUGUUUAUUACACAGAUGAUGCCUGAGUUACAUGGGGUUGCUUUGGUAUUACAGUAAGAUGACAUAGACAUGUUUAGAAAGCAGAAGCGGAGUUGACUGCUAGCGAAACAGUCCCACACAAAAUCGAAAGGGAAGAAAAUAAGUGUUAGCAUAGCUAAGCAGCGAAUAGGGAAAAAAGGUCAAAGUUUCAAACACAACAUCUGUGCUUUUUACUGUCGACUCAUUCCCAAUGGAAAU